UAGGGAAUCUUCGGCAAUGGACGGAAGUCUGACCGAGCAACGCCGCGUGAGUGAAGAAGGUUUUCGGAUCGUAAAGCUCUGUUGUAAGAGAAGAACGAGUGUGAGAGUGGAAAGUUCACACUGUGACGGUAUCUUACCAGAAAGGAACGGCUAACUACGUGCUAGCAGCCGCGGUAAUACGUAGGUCCCGAGCGUUGUCCGGAUUUAUUGGGCGUAAAGCGAGCGCAGGCGGUUAGAUAAGUCUGAAGUUAAAGGCUGUGGCUUAACCAUAGUACGCUUUGGAAACUGUUUAACUUGAGUGCAAGAGGGGAGAGUGGAAUUCCAUGUGUAGCGGUGAAAUGCGUAGAUAUAUGGAGGAACACCGGUGGCGAAAGCGGCUCUCUGGCUUGUAACUGACGCUGAGGCUCGAAAGCGUGGGGAGCAAACAGGAUUAGAUACCCUGGUAGUCCACGCCGUAAACGAUGAGUGCUAGGUGUUAGACCCUUUCCGGGGUUUAGUGCCGUAGCUAACGCAUUAAGCACUCCGCCUGGGGAGUACGACCGCAAGGUUG
rnacentral:rRNA from 1 species